AGUGAACGCUGGCGGUAGGCCUAACACAUGCAAGUCGAACGGCAGCACAGUAAGAGCUUGCUCUUACGGGUGGCGAGUGGCGGACGGGUGAGGAAUACAUCGGAAUCUACUUUUUCGUGGGGGAUAACGUAGGGAAACUUACGCUAAUACCGCAUACGACCUACGGGUGAAAGCAGGGGAUCUUCGGACCUUGCGCGAUUGAAUGAGCCGAUGUCGGAUUAGCUAGUUGGCGGGGUAAAGGCCCACCAAGGCGACGAUCCGUAGCUGGUCUGAGAGGAUGAUCAGCACCACUGGAACUGAGACACGGUCCAGACUCCUACGGGAGGCAGCAGUGGGGAAUAUCGGACAAUGGGCGCAAGCCUGAUCCAGCCAUACCGCGUGGGUGAAGAAGGCCUUCGGGUUGUAAAGCCCUUUUGUUGGGAAAGAAAAGCAGCAGGUUAAUACCCCGCUGUUCUGACGGUACCCAAAGAAUAAGCACCGGCUAACUUCGU
rnacentral:rRNA from 1 species